rnacentral:lncRNA from 1 species
GGCUCAUCUUGACAUGAGCUCUCCUAGAAGUGGAGGUAAGAAAGAGGGGUGAAUUGGUUCCAGGUAAAUUGCGCCAUGGCACACCACGUCGGCGCUUUUUAUCUUAACAAAUUUGAAUUUAGAAGCUAUGAAAUGCUCGUUAGAUUUGUCAGGUAAGUUCAACAGUCAUUCAUAUUGUCUUUAUUAUCGUAAACAGUUGGUCUAAUGUCUAUUUUGGAAGAAAACACCAGGCACGAUCGGGAUUCGAACCCGGGACUUUCGCAAACCAUGCGACAGUUCUAACCAACUGAGCUACCGAGCCCAGUCCAACCUUGCUUGUCCUCUACCUGUACCUGUCAAGAAAUGAUCCAGGCUCAUCUUGACAUGAGCUCUCCUAGAAGUGGAGGUAAGAAAGAGGGGUGAAUUGGUUCCAGGUAAAUUGCGCCAUGGCACACCACGUCGGCGCUGUUUAUCUUAACAUUUUUGAUUUCAGAAACUAUGAAAUGCUCGUAAGACAGUCAUUCAUAUUGUCUUUAUUAUCGUAAACAGUUGGUCUAAUGUCUAUUUUGGAGAAGAAAAUACCAGGCUCGACCGGGAUUCGAACCCGGGACUUUCGCAAACCAUGCGACUGCUCUAACCAACUGAGCUACCGAGCCCGGGUCAACCUUGCUUGUCCUCUACCUGUACCUGUCAAGAAAUGAUCCAGGCUCAUCUUGACAUGAGCUCUCCUAGAAGUGGAGGUAAGAAAGAGGGAUGAAUUGGUUCCAGGUAAAUUGCGCCAUGGCACACCACGUCGGCGCUGUUUAUCUUAACAGUUUUGAUUUUAGAAACUAUGAAAUGCUCGUUAGAUUUGGCAGGUAAGUUCAACAGUCAUUCAUAUUGUCUUUAUUAUCGUAAACAGUUGGUCUAAUGUCUAUUUUGGAGAAGAAAACACCAGGCUCGAUCGUGAUUCGAACCCGGGACUUUCGCAAACCAUCCGACUGUUCUAACCAACUGAGCUACCGAGGCUGGGUCCAUCUUGCUUGUCCACUACAGGUACCUGUCAAGAAAUGAUCCAGGCUCAUCUUGACAUGAGCUCUUGUAGAUGUGGAGGUAAGAAAGAGGGGUGAAUUGGUUCCAGGUAAAUUGCGCCAUGGCACACCACGUCGGCGCUGUUUGUCUUAACAGUUUUGAUUUCAGAAACUAUGAAAUGCUUGUUUGAUUUGUCAGAGAUGAAGGUGUAUCUCCUUGAUUAUCAUCAUAUUAGGACAUCUAAACUCAUCAUCACAUCAAGACCACAACUUCUCAGCACAGCAGAGAUGAAGAUAUGUCUGUUGGAUUAUCAUUUCACUGAGGACAGCUUAUUUAUAAACUCAUCAUCACCUACAAUAUCUACAACCUUGUAGCCUUAGUAGAGCGGAGAUGAAGGUGUGUCUUCUGGAUUAUCAUCACACUGAGGACAGCUAAACUAAUCAACACAUCAAGAUCUACAGCAUUGCAGCCUCACCACAGCAGAGAUGAAGGUAUGUCUUUUGGAUUAUCAUCCAACUGAGGACAGCUAAUUUAUAAACUCAUCAUCACCAGCAAGAUCUACAAUGUCACAGCUUCAGCACAGCAGAGAUGAAGGUGUAUUUCCUUGAUUAUCAUCAUACUUAGGACAUCUAAACUGAUCAUCACAUCAAGACCACAACAUCGCAGCCUCAGCACAGAGAUGAAUGUAUGUCUGUUGGAUUAUCAUUUCACUGAGGACAGCUUAUUUAUAAACUCAUCAUCACCUACAAUAUCUACAACCUUGUAGCCUUAGUAGAGAGAUGAAGGUAUGUCUCUUGGAUUAUCAUCCAACUGAGGACAGCUAAUUUAUAAACUCAUCAUCAUCAGCAGGAUCUACAAUGUCACAGCUUCAGCACAGGUGACCCUUUCCAUACAGCAUGGUGGCUUCUUGGUGAACUGACUCUACCUAUCUUGUAAUGGAUAAUACCUAUGGAAAAAGUAGACAGUGAAAAACAGCAGCAAGAGCAGUGCAUUAUCUCAUCCAUGUGUAGAAUACAUGAUAUGUGGCAAGAUUAAAAACGUCAUAUGAUGUGCAAAGCCUGAUUUUAGAUGUCCAUUUUUCAAGGAGGAAUCUGCAUCUGGUAUUGGUAGUAAGGAGAAAUCUUGAAUGGGUAUAUAUUGUUUCCAGAUGACAGUAAUAGGUAAUUUGUCACCUCUUACACAACCAAACUCAAAUCAUAACAUAAAAUGCUCCAUUUGAUACUGAAUAAUAUUAUUGUAAUAUUGAAAAUUUUGUUUUUUGUAAUUCUCAAUCUUCUAAUAUCAAUUGCCAAUAAACAACGCAGUCAACUGAUACACUUAUCUCAGAUUAUUACAGUUGUGAAGCUUAUUUUGUAUAAAUUUCACAAACAUUGGACUAGAUUUGUCAACAUCAUUCAUUUAAAUAUGUAAAGGUAUGGAAUU